AUGGAUUUAGUAUGUUGGAAUGUACAUGGCCUUAAUAGUCCAGCUAGGAGGGAUGCUUUGAGGGAGUUAACGAAUUCUAUGCAUGUUUCGAUUUGGUGCAUCCAAGAGACUAAACUAGAGCAUGUAGACCAAUAUGUGAUUAUGCAAUGUUUAGGGCCAUCUUAUGAUGUUUUUGCGUACUUGCCAGCUUCGGCCACUCAUGGUGGCAUCAUCAUUGCUUGGAACUCUUCCAAAGUGAUUGUUUCUAACACGGUUCGCGACACUAACUUCAUCACGGGAUAUGUCGCAUCGAGGGAAGGAGCUUCUUGGUGGCUUUCGGUGGUGUAUGGGCCUCAAGAGGUCCCGCAAAAGGUCGUGUUUUACAAGAACUUUCGGACAGGUGGGCACUCUGCCCGAGACCAUGGAUGGCAAUAG
rnacentral:rRNA from 1 species